AGAGUUUGAUCCUGGCUCAGGACGAACGCUGGCGGCGUGCCUAAUACAUGCAAGUCGAGCGAACCACUUCGGUGGUUAGCGGCGGACGGGUGAGUAACACGUGGGCAACCUGCCUGUAAGACUGGGAUAACUUCGGGAAACCGGAGCUAAUACCGGAUAAUCCUUUUCCUCUCAUGAGGRAAAGCUGAAAGACGGUUUCGGCUGUCACUUACAGAUGGGCCCGCGGCGCAUUAGCUAGUUGGUGAGGUAACGGCUCACCAAGGCGACGAUGCGUAGCCGACCUGAGAGGGUGAUCGGCCACACUGGGACUGAGACACGGCCCAGACUCCUACGGGAGGCAGCAGUAGGGAAUCUUCCACAAUGGACGAAAGUCUGAUGGAGCAACGCCGCGUGAGCGAUGAAGGCCUUCGGGUCGUAAAGCU
rnacentral:rRNA from 1 species